CCAGCCACUUCGGAUCGGGCAUUGUGUGUGUGGGAAUACCCCUGCAGGGUGUGUGUAAAACCCAACAGGGUUCGAAUUUUUUCUAUGGUGUCCCGAAUCAAACUUUGUUCUUUGCAAGGAAUUAGAGAGGAACCUCGUUCCUCGAUAACGGCCCAUUGAUGGAAACGAUGCUAUAAUUCAUUUUAUCCGGACAACUUUGGAAGAAUUCCACUUUGUUUAAUUUACGGUGAAUAAAUCCAGUAUGCAUCAAGAUCCUGCCUUCUCGAAGAUUAGAAUUAGAAAGAUCGAAAAAUAUAUGCCACCGUCUAACAUGAAGGUCGCUUUCAUUAACAUGAUCCUAACCAAGCAACAUCGAUUCUCAUUCCAAUCAACAAUCCACCAUUCAGGGAUGUGAGAAAAGCUCGUGACAUAGAAUGGAAGGUGAACAUUCGACAUUGCCAUCAAUCACUUCGAAGGAAUUAAUUUGUCUUGCUCAUUGGAGGGAAGGCAACCAAUCAGCCACCCACCUCUAAAAUCGACUAGCCAAUCCUAAGCAAAUUUAACUAAUUAGUUUCUCCUCCUCUG